GACGAACGCUGGCGGCGUGCCUAAUACAUGCAAGUCGAACGAACUCUGGUAUUGAUUGGUGCUUGCAUCAUGAUUUACAUCUGAGUGAGUGGCGAACUGGUGAGUAACACGUGGGAAACCUGCCCAGAAGCGGGGGAUAACACCUGGAAACAGAUGCUAAUACCGCAUAACAACUUGGACCGCAUGGUCCGAGUUUGAAAGAUGGCUUCGGCUAUCACUUUUGGAUGGUCCCGCGGCGUAUUAGCUAGAUGGUGGGGUAACGGCUCACCAUGGCAAUGAUACGUAGCCGACCUGAGAGGGUAAUCGGCCACAUUGGGACUGAGACACGGCCCAAACUCCUACGGGAGGCAGCAGUAGGGAAUCUUCCACAAUGGACGAAAGUCUGAUGGAGCAACGCCGCGUGAGUGAAGAAGGGUUUCGGCUCGUAAAACUCUGUUGUUAAAGAAGAACAUAUCUGAGAGUAACUGUUCAGGUAUUGACGGUAUUUAACCAGAAAGCCACGGCUAACUACGUGCCAGCAGCCGCGGUAAUACGUAGGUGGCAAGCGUUGUCCGGAUUUAUUGGGCGUAAAGCGAGCGCAGGCGGUUUUUUAAGUCUGAUGUGAAAGCCUUCGGCUCAACCGAAGAAGUGCAUCGGAAACUGGGAAACUUGAGUGCAGAAGAGGACAGUGGAACUCCAUGUGUAGCGGUGAAAUGCGUAGAUAUAUGGAAGAACACCAGUGGCGAAGGCGGCUGUCUGGUCUGUAACUGACGCUGAGGCUCGAAAGUAUGGGUAGCAAACAGGAUUAGAUACCCUGGUAGUCCAUACCGUAAACGAUGAAUGCUAAGUGUUGGAGGGUUUCCGCCCUUCAGUGCUGCAGCUAACGCAUUAAGCAUUCCGCCUGGGGAGUACGGCCGCAAGGCUGAAACUCAAAGGAAUUGACGGGGGCCCGCACAAGCGGUGGAGCAUGUGGUUUAAUUCGAAGCUACGCGAAGAACCUUACCAGGUCUUGACAUACUAUGCAAAUCUAAGAGAUUAGACGUUCCCUUCGGGGGCAUGGAUACAGGUGGUGCAUGGUUGUCGUCAGCUCGUGUCGUGAGAUGUUGGGUUAAGUCCCGCAACGAGCGCAACCCUUAUUAUCAGUUGCCAGCAUUAAGUUGGGCACUCUGGUGAGACUGCCGGUGACAAACCGGAGGAAGGUGGGGAUGACGUCAAAUCAUCAUGCCCCUUAUGACCUGGGCUACACACGUGCUACAAUGGAUGGUACAACGAGUUGCGAACUCGCGAGAGUAAGCUAAUCUCUUAAAGCCAUUCUCAGUUCGGAUUGUAGGCUGCAACUCGCCUACAUGAAGUCGGAAUCGCUAGUAAUCGCGGAUCAGCAUGCCGCGGUGAAUACGUUCCCGGGCCUUGUACACACCGCCCGUCACACCAUGAGAGUUUGUAACACCCAAAGUCGGUGGGGUAACCUUUUAGGAACCAGCCGCCUAAGGUGGGACAGAUGAUUAGGGUG
rnacentral:rRNA from 1 species